rnacentral:rRNA from 1 species
GAGGCAGCAGUGGGGAAUWUUGCACAAUGGGCGGAAGCCUGAUGCAGCAACGCCGCGUGAGGGAUGACGGCCUUCGGGUUGUAAACCUCUUUUAGCAGGGAAGAAGCGGAAGUGACGGUACCUGCAGAAAAAGCGCCGGCUAACUACGUGCCAGCAGCCGCGGUAAUACGUAGGGCGCAAGCGUUAUCCGGAAUUAUUGGGCGUAAAGAGCUCGUAGGCGGUUUGUCGCGUCUGCUGUGAAAUCCCGAGGCUCAACCUCGGGUCUGCAGUGGGUACGGGCAGACUAGAGUGCGGUAGGGGAGAUUGGAAUUCCUGGUGUAGCGGUGGAAUGCGCAGAUAUCAGGAGGAACACCGAUGGCGAAGGCAGAUCUCUGGGCCGUAACUGACGCUGAGGAGCGAAAGGGUGGGGAGCAAACAGGCUUAGAUACCCUGGUAGUCCACCCCGUAAACGUUGGGAACUAGUUGUGGGGUCCAUUCCACGGAUUCCGUGACGCAGCUAACGCAUUAAGUUCCCCGCCUGGGGAGUACGGCCGCAAGGCUAAAACUCAAAGGAAUUGACGGGGACCCGCACAAGCGGCGGAGCAUGCGGAUUAAUUCGAUGCAACGCGAAGAACCUUACCAAGGCUUGACAUACACGAGAACGGGCCAGAA